rnacentral:rRNA from 1 species
GACGAACGCUGGCGGCGUGCCUAAUACAUGCAAGUUGAGCGCUGAAGGUUGGUACUUGUACCAACUGGAUGAGCAGCGAACGGGUGAGUAACGCGUGGGGAAUCUGCCUUUGAGCGGGGGACAACAUUUGGAAACGAAUGCUAAUACCGCAUAAAAACUUUAAACACAAGUUUUAAGUUUGAAAGAUGCAAUUGCAUCACUCAAAGAUGAUCCCGCGUUGUAUUAGCUAGUUGGUGAGGUAAAGGCUCACCAAGGCGAUGAUACAUAGCCGACCUGAGAGGGUGAUCGGCCAAAUUGGGACUGAGACACGGCCCAAACUCCUACGGGGAGCAGCAGUAAGGGAUCUUCGGCAAUGGACGGAAGUCUGACCGAGCAACGCCGCGGGAGGGAAGAAGGGUUUCGGAUCGGAAAACUCUGUUGGUAGGGAAGAACGAUGGGGAGAGUGGAAAGCGCAUCAAGUGACGGUAACUACCCAGAAAGGGACGGCUAACUACGUG